GAUAAAAUGGCUGAAUUUAAGGCAGUAAAUUGUAAAUUUACCUAUGAAAAUUUUAUUAUUUUCUUUUAUCA
rnacentral:tRNA from 2 species